rnacentral:rRNA from 1 species
UACGGAGGGUGCGAGCGUUGUCCGGAAUCACUGGGCGUAAAGGGCGCGUAGGCGGCCUGGUAAGUAGGGGGUGAAAUCCUGCGGCUUAACCGCAGGGCUGCCUUCUAAACUGUCAGGCUCGAGCACGGUAGAGGCAGAUGGAAUUCCCGGUGUAGCGGUGGAAUGCGUAGAGAUCGGGAAGAACAUCAGUGGCGAAGGCGGUCUGCUGGGCCGUUGCUGACGCUGAGGCGCGACAGCGUGGGGGAGCAAACGGG